AACGUAGGACACAAGCGUUAUCCGGAGUUACUGGGCGUAAAGAGCGCGUAGGCGGUUUGUUAAGUCUGCUAUGAAAGCACCUGGCUAAACUGGGUGAGGCUGGCGGAUACUGGCAAGCUCGAGUGAGACAGAGGCAGAUGGAAUUCCGCGUGUAGUGGUGAAAUGCGUAGAGAUGCGGAGGAACACCAGUGGCGAAGGCGGUCUGCUGGGUCUCAACUGACGCUGAGGCGCGAAAGCGUGGGGAGCGAACGGG
rnacentral:rRNA from 1 species